GCCUAGAUGGAUUGGGGUGGGGAGCUAGAAGUGAUUUCCAGAAAGAGGCAGAGAGCUGGGGUAAGAGAUGCCCAUUAAUCAAUGGGUGUUUCCUUAGCUGAGAAUCAGUCUCAGUGAUAUGGACCUAAAGAAACCAUCUGCUGUCGCCAGAGAGCAACCCAAAUGGAAUGAUAAAGAGACACCAACUUUAGACACAAAAUUCAUUAUGACCACAAGAAAUGAAAGGGCUGUGCAUAGAGAAGAUAGUGAAAAAUGAUCAACCAAUGGUUACUGCAGAUUGAGACCCAAUGGAUGAGCACCGAUCCCUUACACUAUUAAUGUGACUCUGUUAUGCUUGCAGACAGCAGUCUAGCAUGGCUUCCCUCUGUGAGAUUCCACUAAGCUGCUGACUCAGACAGAAGCAGGCAUCAUCUAGUCAAACCACGGUGGAGCUUGGGGACUCUGAUGGAAGAAGAGAAUGAAAAGGAUUAUGGCCUCUAAGGAUAUAGGCACUCCACAGGCUUUGUCUUCAUGCAGGCUAUGGUGUUGUGAAGACAAGAUACCACAUGUGCAGCUGUGAAUAAGUCUGAGAAGGCUGACUUCUUGGAUUUCUGAAGCAUUACUAAGUGAUCCAGAGGAAAUCAGCACCCCCUGCUCAGCAGAGCUCUGGGAAUGCUGACACUCUUGCUUCAUGUUUAUAUUAACCUAGGUCAAAAGAUCACCUGUCAGGGUCUCCAGGGAAGGCAUCAUCCCAACCUUCCAGCAUCAGUGAGCAAGUGCAACAGAUUAAGAAGUUUGUAGAAAUUGACUAAGGAGCUCCAGAAGAUGACAUGUGAGUUGGAAAAUUCUCGUGCAUAGGUAACCAUUGCACCAACAGCAUUUGAAGAGAAGUAGUCAUUGUACCCACUUCUUUGUAGACAGUCCUGACCCCUGUGUGAUAACCUCAGUUUUCUCAGACCACAGGAAAAUGCAACUGUAAUGUCCUCAUGUACAAAUUAAUUUUCUUAUGUUCCUCUCAGAAUCACAACAUAAAGAAAGGAUAGUAGUGUGAUAGGAAGCUAUUUUAUUUCUCAGAAAUGCAGAAGCAGUGGUUUGAAUAACUGUCUUGGGUUACGGAAAGUAAUGUGUGAGCUCUC